rnacentral:rRNA from 1 species
UACGUAGGGGGCAAGCGUUGUCCGGAAUCAUUGGGCGUAAAGAGCGUGUAGGCGGCUCGGUAAGUCCGCUGUUAAAGUCCAGGGCUCAACCCUGGAAUGCCGGUGGAAACUGUCGAGCUAGAGUCCGGAAGAGGCGAGUGGAAUUCCUGGUGUAGCGGUGAAAUGCGCAGAUAUCAGGAGGAACACCGAUGGCGAAGGCAGCUCGCUGGGACGGUACUGACGCUGAGACGCGAAAGCGUGGGGAGCAAACAGG